UAAAACUUAAUUAAUAUCAUUAAUCAAGUUAUACAUCGUAUGAAACCAUUCUCUUAAGACUCAAAGUAUGACAUAACAUACUAUAACAUCAACAACAUCUUGCAGCGGAAAGUAGCUAGACAUAUGUAUGAAGACAUAUUCUAGACAGGUUAACUAUUUAUUAACAACCCUGGAGACUCCGCUCAUUGCAGCACCAUCAUCACAUCAGCUCAACCUGCACAUUUAGAAAACAUAUGCAGGGCUGAGUACAAAAGCACUCAGUGGGCACGUAUGCCUAGGUAUAAAAAUACAUGCUUCAAAACUGAAGAAUUGGUGAGAAGUUAUAAAAGAAACCUCGAUUAAUAAUCUAAUCUCUUUUAUGAAACAUUAGUAUCUCUAAUGUUCAUCUCUCUUGAUUGUUAAUCAAUAUAACAAUUAUUAUCUCUCGUCAUUACUCAUUAAUUAUAACAUCCUUAUGUUAUAAUUAGCAGCGCUUCAAUUAAAAGAAAUAUUUAACACAUCGAAAAGUCCACUUUCUUAGCAGAUCUAUUCGCUCUCAUCUCGUCUAAUUAACCAAUUAGAAAGUUAAACUUUCCAUUAGGCAUGUAUUUGAGUCACAGGUCAACAAGAAUUGACUAUGCUCAAAUUCUAAUUUCACUAAAAAUUAUAAUGAUUAUUUGAUGAUAUAUCAAAGUAUUCAUUAAAAAUUUCGGCAUGACCUAUUCAUAUAUAAUGUCAGUCACGAGAUUUCAACGCGUGAAUCUCACUACGUGAACUCGUCUCUCGACUCAAAACUUAACAUCUUGACAUCUUUUCAACGCAAACCAAACAAUUCAAAAUCAUCAAAACUCUUUAUCAGUAAACUAUCAUUUAUACUCGACACCAAUUGUUCGAGUGUCAGAUACCAACAUUUAUGUGCGUUAAUCAUAACUCUCAUAACUCACACCAUUUAGUCAUAUCGUAUCAUCCAUCAAAACAAAUAUAAUCAAGUUGUUUUCUAGAAAGUUUUGCUGUUUUUGUGUCAUCUUUAAAAAUUCAUAACAACCAACUCAAUCAUCAUAAACUCUCAUACCAAUUGAUCUCAAAAACUCCAUGAAGUGUAGUUCACUCUAAAAAUGGUAGUUAACCAAAAGGUUAAAGGUUUUUGGAGAUAUUGCUCUUUUAGUGCAGGCUGUCAAAGAUUGACAGUUUCUGCCAAUUUUGUUUAGGCCAUUAGAAACCAAGGCAAACCUUAAUAAAAUUCCAUCAAAUUUAAUCAGCCAAAACUAAAGGUAUCCUUGAAGAUUUGGUUAAAAUUUCACAAGAGAAAACGUUCAUAUGAUCUGCCAAAUAAACAAUGAAACACAUACACUUUUACUGUUGGAAAAAUAUGACAGCAGAACAGGGCAUUUUUGAAAUAAUAAACUGCUCUGUUUCAGAGGUCAAAAAAAUCGAAAUCUUAUGUUUUAAGAAAAGUAUUGAAGUCUAGUUUCGUUUAAAAAAAACGGUGAUGAAAAAAUCCUUCAUGGAUUAAUAGAUAUAAACGUUUUUGUGAAGUCUACCAACAGUUGACAGAUUCUGUCAAGGAUUUUUUUCAAAAUAUCUUUAAAAUACCAAACAUCAUCCAAAAGACAUGAAAUUUUGCAGCGACGAAAUACACAUAUCAUAGAUAAACAUACUAAAAUUUCAGAGCCAUCAAGCAAUGAAAACUCAUCGAAACAUAAGCUUGAAACUGCUGUAAAAUUUUGACAGAAUUCCAGUUUUAAUUUCGUUCAACAAUUAUCAUCCAUAAAUUGUAAAUCAAUUAGCAUGCUCAUGUGAUAUCGUAGAACACAUAUACGCAAUAAUAUUCAUUAUGCAACGUCUCAAACUUCACGAAUUUAAAUAAUCAUACUCUAAAAAUUUAUACAAUUUUCGUGCUUGGAAAAAUACGAAUUUAAUAUAUAUCGAUUCUAGCAUACCCUUAAGCACAAAUAUCAAGUCAAAGCGAUCAAACAAAAAUCGAAAGACAAGCUAAUAUGUGAAAAACGGGGCUGCCCUCAUGGGUUUCAUAGCUACGGUUCGUUCCGUUCUUACUCCCUUCAUUAAACAUGCUCAACAUCUACCCAAGAACAACCUACUAAAAUUUCACGACGAUCCGACGUCGUUUCAAAAUAAAGUCGAGAAUCAACAUUUUUCGACGUCGACGAAAAUCGAAAAGAAAACCAUCAAAACGUAGGUAGAGAUCUUACCUACUUAGAUACGUGAUCGAAAAGAUGAUCGGCGCUCGUCUCGGUGCUCAAAUCGGUGGUCAAAAGCUUGAGCUCAAACUAAAAUGAAAAUGGCGUGAACUAGUGUGUGUUUUAGGUGUUGUAUGUGUGAGAUUAAAGUGUGAGUGGAGUGUUUGGCUGAUACAGCCGUAUAAUAUGUGUGAGUGAGUGGGGUUGGGUGGUUGGUGGAGUGGUUAGGGUAGGGUAGGUUAGAUAGUAUAUUAUCCCACUUAGUCGUUAAAUAUCUCGUUUCGUCUCGUUUUAACGACUAACUACCCGUAUUCUUCGUUACUCGUCCUCUUAACUCCUACUCACUUUUAUUAUACUCGUAAUUCUAUAUAAAUAUAGAAAACGCAAGCUCGUUCUCGAAAUUCUGAUAAACGAGCUCGGUUCGUUUAUCGAGAAAUCACAGUUUACUAUUCACUCAUCGUCCAAAAAUAAAAACUUUCAUUAUUGGACUCGUAUCGAAAAACUAAGAAUAUUUCUCGACGACGUGCACGUAAGAUUUUGAAAGUCGACAAAAAGACGAAAUAGCCGUAUUUUACUAUUCAUCGUCAAAAAGUCAAAAAUUUCAAAAACGUCUUAACGGACUCAGAUUUCACUUCCGAGUUCAUCGUUCUCAUUCAAAUAAUUAUCUCGAAUUAUUCAAAUACUCAAACUCAACUACGGAUUUAAAAUCCCACAUCAUCCACACAUCAUCAAAAGAACAUCUCAACGUCUUAAAAAUAACAAGGGAACUUCAUAUAACUCCUCAUCUCUUUACAAAGUAAAUCAAACAAGGGAUCUAAACCUUAAUUACUCAAACUCAAGCAAUUAAUCACGUAAUCAAAAGCUCGGGUAUUACAUUGCACUAGUUCACUCAAUUAAUGUGAUACUUCUGCAAAAGAUAUUGUAAUAUACCAUUAUUUGACUCAAAAAUUUAUGAAUGGUAUUUCAAUAAUGCAAGGUCUAAAUUCCCCAUGCACCACAUCUAUCUCUAUCAAACUUUUCAUUCUUCCAUCUCAAUAUGCAAGGAAAUUCAAGUUCUCAUAAUUUAAGCUUCCAAAAUUCUGACUCAUCUCCUAUACAAAAUCCACGAUAUAAUCUGUAUCUUUAUCCACCAAAUUUUUCUAUUGGUUCGAAUGUGAUACCUCCGUAUUUCAUGCCCCAAUAUGAAAUGCCACCACAAUCUCAAUUUUUUUCUCCUCCAACACAACAUGCAUUUAACGAGCAAUCAUUUGGUUCUCUACCUUUCAACUCUCAACAUUUUGGUGCUCUCUUUUUCAACUCUCUGUCACACCCUAAUUCUCGAAGGAAUAAAUUUAAUUGAAGUGCGAAUAAUUCAUAGAAAUGAACAAGGGAAAAAUCUUGUUAAAACCGACAUAGGAUAGCAAGUCGGGCUAUGCCCCUUUGGAUUACAAGUUUUGUUUCAUGUUUCUGACAACCGACAUUCAUUAGCAUAAAACUGAAAAUUUCAAAUUGAAGCUUGACAUAAAGUCAUCUUAAAUUAAGAAAAAAAAAACGUAUAAUAGUUAUUGCUACAUCGAAAGUCUAAAUAGAAAUUGAACCCUAGCCUCAGCUCCGUCUCGUCAUCACCAGCCAGCCAACCUAAAAAUAUUUGAAAGUAUUUUUGGGCUAAAUACUAAUGUACUCAGUGGGCAAGCAUUUUCUAAAACAUUUUAUAUUUUCGUCAAGGCAGUUUAUCCAAUCAUACUUGACAUGACUUAAAAAGUUUUAAAAUAAAGAACUUCUAAGCAUGUUAAAAUAUUUUUUUCAUCUGUGCGCACAUGUCACACCCUAUUUCUGUUACUCGUUGUGAUCCCGGACCUUUUAGCCAUCGACGGAUCUCUGUCUCCUGCUUACUUGAACUGAAGGCGUAAUCCAGACAAGUUUACUUUGGCCUCGGGACGCUACUCAAGCUCGCCUUAUAUUUCUCAUACUCCAGAACACAUCAAGCCGAGCACCCUUAUAACGCCUCUGGCCAGUGCCCGAUGGAGAUCAACCCACCAGGUCAACUAGCAUGUGUACAUGAUUCUCAGACAACGUGUUAGGUCAUAAGAGAACCUCAAUUGAUUAACUUUGCGAGCCUUAAUCAGAGUAGAGUGCACAUAAACAUUUUAUUGGAUAAUCAGUUUGCAUUUCAUUGAAACAUUUAGAGCUUAAUAACUCAAUCAUACUUUAUACAUUUGGAACGUAAACCCACCUGCAUAAGCAAAGCCUGUCGUUUAAACUUAACUUUGAAUCAAAAUAGCAAUCUUAAUCCUUCUGAUCCACGAUGCCUACAAGAAAUCUAUAAACUUAAUAGGUCUCCUAAAUCUAAUCUUAAGUCAUGGUGAAGUGCUUAACAUUCUACGAUCCACUUAGCCGGGUCUUCAAAAUUUAAUAAAUAAAUAAUUGAAAAUUAAAAUCCUUGAGUCAAGGACACCAACAAUAUCCUUAACUCAAUUUUUUUUAAUAAUUGAAUUUAUAAAUAAACUCAAUUAAAUCAUAAAUGCUUUCUAUUGCAUAAUGCAAAUGCAAAUUCAUUUCAUGCUUAAACAUAUGAUAAGUAAUGACUUAAAAUGUGGACAUAAUAAUAUAAUAUCAUUAUACAAGUUACUCUUUAAAAUAAUUAAUUAAGCUAAUUGAUAGUUCAAUUAAUUAAGUUAUGGGAGCCCAUUUAAAAAAUUAUACUAACAGGGCCCAAGCAUUUUAAAAAUAAAAAGGGCCCGGAUUCUAUUUAUUAAAUCAGCUCAUUUUAAAAGAAUAAAAACGCAGCCCACAUUAAAAUAAAAUGGCCCAACAUAGAAGCCCAAACCUAAAUCUAUAUUCUUCUUCCCUUCUUUCAAACACACGCACACACCCACACCCACACCCGGUAACACACUCACACACAGACCUGUCUCUCUCUCUCUCUCUCUCGGCUCAAUCACACGACUCACACUCACACUCACACCAGACACGGCGCAGCGGCGCCUCCCUUCCGGCGACGAGCGCCACCGCUUCUUUUUCGACCUCCGACGAACAGCGGCCCUCCCUCUCGUCUUUACUUAGUAGUCGACGGCAGCAGCAGCAAAAGCCGACCACCGCCGCCUCAUCCCUCAUCUCCCUCUCGGCUCAUUUCUCAGACCGGAUACCCCAGCAACCCCCUCCUCCUUGGCAACGGCGGCCGCCGUGGCCUCCGUCACCUCCCUCGAUCUCUCUGUCAGAACCCACGCCUCACACCGUCCGCGUCGUCUCCUUCCUUGGAGACGGCGAGAGCGCCGCCUCCUCUCUCUCUGCUCUCUUUCCUAUUCCAGCGACAGACUCAACUUAAACAGCAACGACACCCUCCCGACUCGGUUCACUAAAGUUCGAAGAUGAAGAGCAAAAUCAGAGUUCAAGACUCGACCUUUCUUUCUUCUUUUUCUUUAAGACAGACAUGCUUCAUGUAUAUAAAAAUAUAUGAAUAGAUGGUAUGCACAUGAAUGAAAUCUUUAAAUGUCAUUUGUUUCAAAAACUUGGAACACAAAAUAUGAAUUUGAGGUGCUAACCGUGAAUAGAGAUAAAAUGGGCAGAGGGGUUUGUAGACGAAGCCUUUGGUUUGAUGAACUUGGCAAAUGUUUGGCUUGGUUAGCUGUUGUAUACUGGACCUUCGUGAAUCAGGCUAUAUAAGAAUUCAGAUAUUGUUUCCAUCAAAAAUUGCCAUAGGAAUUAAGAGGAAACAAAGGAAUUUCAAAGCUGAAACUUACAGGUGUAGUUGGCAGAACGCUUGGGAGAGAGAUGGGAGAUGCUGAAAGUUGUAAAGAAAUGCUAAGGUGAUAGAUAUGGCUUCAAAGUGUAUCUAGAUGUGGCACUAAGAUGGGGAUUUGACAUGCCUGCAAAGGCAUGGCUAAAACACUUUUGGGGUUGCUUGAAAGGACAAGGUAUGGUGUUGGCCCGCUGCUAGGAACACAGGUUAGGCCAUCCACUAUGGUUAAAAAAAAAUGGGUAGUUGCUGACAUGGAAAGGAGAGAACCAUGGUGGGCGUGAGUAUUUGGGGUAGCAAAAUGGGAAA
rnacentral:lncRNA from 1 species